GCAAAUCAUGUGAGGGCAUACCAUCUUCCUCUCUCUCUCUCUCUCUGUCUCUCUGUGUGUAUAAAAGCUUCUCUCUCGCCAUGCUUUCACUUCAUUCUCAUUGCUUACAGUGGGAGCAGACUGAAGACUCUGUGUGCAUGUGCACAGUGUGUAUGUGUGGAGGGGAUGACAUAACCACGGGACACCCCUUGUCACAGAAGGAGUCAUUUUUUUCAGCCAACUGUCAUCCCUUGCUCCCUUGGUGCUCCCUCACUGCCUUCGGGUUUUGGGCAUCCCUGCUUUUGUUCUUCUCCUCUUGAAGCAUCUCCACUCUGCUUGGACAGUGGCUCCAUCGACGCAAAAUGGGUUGUGGCAAUUCCUCAGCCACCAGCACCUCAGGAGGGGGGCCUGCAGAAGCCUCCAAAGAUGUAAGAUCCUUCAACAGAAGAUGAGAAAAGAAGGAACUAUGGCGGUGUGUAUGUGGGUCUACCAGCAGAUUUGACCACUGUGGCUGCGAGUCACUCCAAGUCCACACACAAAGACUAGCACCAAGUGAAAGGAACACAAUGCAGGAUUCAUUCACCCAGAGACACUUAAGAUCAUGUGCUGUAAUCCAGGAUCAACAGAUCCCGGAUAAAGCCAGGCGUCAGUGUGAGACAGUCUGUGAGUGAGGAUGUGGACAGUGUGCUGCCUCGUGGACUCAUGACAGUGAACACAGUGGACACCUGCAUUUGGCAUCCAUCAUCACCAUUAAUUUUGCAUAAACAAAGAUGAGCACCGAAGUGGACAGGCGUGGACAGGCACCCACCUUUGGGACUGGUGACUUGGUUCUCUUCAGCAAGAGGAGACAUGAAAGCUGGCCGGCUGUUGCCUGAGUCCCUCACACACAUUCCCAGCGGUAAUCACUGCUCAGCUGAGGUGUUCUAUGAGUCACUGGGAGGUAGUCUGAUGAGAUAUGAAGACAGGAAUCAGCGGAAGCCACGCAAAGCCAUUCCUAUUAAUCAUAGUACGACCCGGUGUUCAGUCAGAGACCUGCUGCUGGAAAAGAACAGCUUGAAAGAGACUGUAAAGGUUGACAAGAUGCUAAUACAGCCGAAAGUGUUUUAAUUCAAAUUUGAUGUGUCGACCAUCCACAGGUCA